rnacentral:rRNA from 1 species
UACGAAGGUCCCAAGCGUUAUCCGGAUUUAUUGGGUUUAAAGGGUGCGUAGGCGGGCUAUUAAGUCAGUGGUGAAAGCCCCAAGCUUAACUUGGGAACUGCCAUUGAUACUGAUGGUCUUGAGUACAUUUGAGGUGGGCGGAAUGUGUCAUGUAGCGGUGAAAUGCUUAGAUAUGACACAGAACACCGAUUGCGAAGGCAGCUCACUAAACUGUAACUGACGCUGAGGCACGAAAGCGUGGGGAGCAAAC